GCAGUUUCCUUGCAUCUAUAAACACACUAUUCAAGGACUCCACAACGUUACUAGUAUCUAGAUUGUACCUCUCUGCUGGAAAAUAGCACUUGGCCCAUUUUGAUACUUCUACACGCCUCUGUAUACUGCUUUGCGCACUACAUGAAUGUAUCUGCAACUAUUUUUUAUCCCUUGAAACUUGCAUUUUGACAUUCUGUGAAAGAUGCCAGGUGCAAUACCCAU
rnacentral:lncRNA from 1 species